rnacentral:lncRNA from 1 species
GGGUUAAUACAAUGAAACAAGAAUAAAUUGUAAAUUGUAAGAGAAUAAUGAUAAAGAGUUGAAGUUGGGCCCCUAUUCUGGCCCAUCAACAAGCUUCCCAAUUUUGGGCUUCAUCCUCAUGGACUUGUGGUAUUUUCCUGCAGUGUAUACCACAUGUAUACCAGCCAUAUUUUCUGCAUUUUUGCGUACAUAUGUUGUACAUACGUGCAUACAAAUCUGUAUACUUGCUUCAAGCUUCAUUAUGCAUCAUAUAUCGGCAUGUACCAACCACUUUCGCCCUGUAAAACCCAUAUAUCUAUUGUAUACAGUGUAUACCAGUCCCUUUGGACUUGAUUUUUAAAGUCUAGACUUGAAGAUUCAGGCUGCCUUGGCCCUUUAAGGAGAUACGGAGGAGUAUAGGGUCUCAUGGACUCAUGAGUAGUGUUCAUGCAAAGAAAAUGAUGAUGCAGACUAGUAAACUAUUAAUGCAUGAAGAAAGAUAAAUUUAUCAAGCAUCUAGGAAAAUACACAUCACCAAAGACAACUGUCUCAUACCACAACCUCAGUUACAGAGAAAGCUAGUAUUUAUCUGUCUAGCCAAGGUCCCUUUUCAGAUGAAAAGGGGAAAUUAUGAAACAAGUAGAUCACAUUCAUACCAAAACAAACCUUUUUCUCAUUAAAGGAGUCAAGUAUAAAGAGGCUUAUGCAAUCGCUAUAAAGCAUCGACUUGAUCUAAUGCGGAGGCUAUCACAAAAAUAGAGUUAUAAAAAUGCUCUUACAGUCGUAGAAUGUUUUAUAGGAUUGCUAUCAAUUUUUUCCAUUUCAACGUCUAUAUCAUAACAGUAAAACGAAGAAGCCCGCAUGCUAUGGAACAUAAGACAACCAAGGAUUGCAAAUAUUAGGCAUGGACACUUGUUCUUGAACAACCAUUUUUUUUCUUUGCAAACUUCAAGGCCGAAAUAUUUUUUUUGUAUUCAGUUUAACAGAGAGAUGACCACAAAAUUGAGAAAAUCUUAACACAAGUUUAAAUUCUUUGAGAAUCAAUAGUUGAACAAACUUCAAACAAGACAAGGACUAUAGCAUCUCAAAGGCAGAAAAAGAACUAUAGCAUCCAAAAUUCCAGCAAAGGCAUCAAAAGUUCAAAUUUAGAUAGCAUCUCAUGCUUCCCGACAACUACAAAACAGAAUAACAUCAACACGAGAGGAAGUUUUUUACAAGGAGUUUGGACUGUAUACAUCAAGCAACCCCACUCGUUUUGUUCGUGCAGAGGCAGGUCUUGAUUUAAAUGAAACGAUGGCUUUAGAAUUCAACCCAUUCUAAUGACAACAAUAUUAACAAUACUUGAACAAAUUUGGACCUCAAGAAAAAUACAAUGACGAGAAUCAGGAUCAUUCUAACUUCUAUGUAAACAAUAGAGUUAAGAGAUUUCCAUAUCAAUAAAUCAUAAUCCAUGGCAUACAGAAGAUUGACAAAAAGGGGUUACCUUUUUUUGGGCAGCGAACGGGACAGAAGAGCCUAUCACUGAUGGAGCUUCCACCACCGAAGUUUCAAUUUUGGGUUCGUCGGAAUUGAUUUCUUAAUAGAGUUUCUUCUCAAAUUUUUUGGUUGCGUGUGAUUAGAGGAAUGCUCUUCCAGAAUCUCCAAUUUUUUCCAAAGAAUCAUCCUUUCUAUGAUGAAGGAAGAGUAUCCCAGAUUUAAAAGAGAAACUGGAGGUUGUUGUAGGAUGGGUCACGGGUUGGAGAAUUGCUAACAGACAAAAUUGUGACAUCUAGGGCAGUGAUUUUGUUGCUGGCUUUGACCGGGUUAUUCACCAAAAUGGUGAUGCGAGUUCUGGGUUUGAUGAAAGUCGUUUGAUCCUUAGCCAAAAAUGGCAUUUUGUGAAUAUCGGAUGUUAUUGUUUAUUGUUUAUACGCGUAAAGGGUAGGGGAAAUGGAGUUGGGCC